AAAAAGGAAGCAUAAAGUUAUUUAUUCAUAUCAUGUACAAAUGUCACAAGAACCAAUGUAAUCCGCGAAGCUGGACCAGGAAACUGGCAAAAACCAGCGAGUCGCCAUUCUGUAUAACAUUUUCCAAAAUUGAGCAUAUAGUCUACCACUGUAAAAGUUCACUUAUAUCAUACUCAUCAUCCUUAAACUUUAUUGAUUGAAAAUUUCGAGUAAUCAUAUACUAUUACAUUACAUGAUUGCGGUUGUUGAAUACUGUGCACAUGCGUGAUUGCAGUUGUUGUCUCAUAUGGGUUCUUUUCAGUAUUAUAUUCUGAUUUUCAAUAUAAAUUUAUUAAUCUAGGUUCAUUAUUAGAUGUGUCUGCAUCAUUUGGUAUGGACAGAGUUGCUAUGUUGGAGCACUGCUUUAUGUGGUGGACCUUACAAAUUGAUAAAGAUGGGUCCCUGAUUUAUGUGUUGGAGCACUGCAGAAGUAGAAUUUUGAACCAUUGCUCAAGUAGAAUUUCUUAACAGAUCAUCAUUUUCAAAUUUAGAAUGAGAAAGCCAUUUGUUGAGAUGCAGUGGACAAUCGACUCAUUGAUCAAUGGAAGGUUACAAAGCUGAAAGAGUAUGUAAGGUAGGAUUUGGGUUCACUCAGCUUCAAAGAUUUGUCGAGGGCUCUACAAGUUAUUCCAGUGAUGCUUUAGAACAUAGAGAAUUAUGUUGCACGUAAAUUAACUUGAAAGCAUGUUGCCUUCAUGAAGCUUUUACUAGGUUUUUGUAAGCACUCUUGGUUGGUUCAUAUUGCAUGUAUCUUUUGAGGCGGCUAAAGUACAUUAAUGGAAAAAACUAAAAUCUUAUGGUGGUCUUUAAACAUAUGUCAAAUUAUA
rnacentral:lncRNA from 1 species